rnacentral:rRNA from 1 species
UACGUAGGGCGCAAGCGUUGUCCGGAAUUAUUGGGCGUAAAGAGCUCGUAGGCGGCUUGUCACGUCGGGUGUGAAAGCCCGGGGCUUAACCCCGGGUCUGCAUUCGAUACGGGCAGGCUAGAGUGUGGUAGGGGAGAUCGGAAUUCCUGGUGUAGCGGUGAAAUGCGCAGAUAUCGGGAGGAACACCGGUGGCGAAGGCGGCACUCUGGGCCGGUACUGACGCUGAGGAGCGAAAGCGUGGGGAGCGAACAGG